rnacentral:lncRNA from 1 species
CGUCCUGUUUAAUACUAGCAUUGAAACCAUAAUAUGGUUCGUUCUGAACUUUUGAAAUUGGUUUUUUCUGAACAGAGUUGUGAUACUUACUACUAGAUGUUCCAAAAUUACUAUUCUUCAACCUUGGUGACAAAGGGAUAUGAUCAUCGUCAUCAAAAUUAUGGGAGUCUUUGGAAGAUUUCUUGACAGCAGCAAGGGUUGCUUUGUUAGUAUUGUUAGAAUUCACCUUCAAACUAGCACUUAUUGGUUUAUUAUCCAACUCAUCCUCAGAAUCUUCGCAGGAUAGGCUUUGAAAUGUGAUGUUGGUGCUCUUGUGAUGUUGAUGGGAUAAUCUUACCCUUCUGUAAACUAGAACCUUGGACAUUUCUCUUAGAUGUUCUGAUUCUUUUGAAAAUAAUUGGCCCAUCAUCAUUCUCGUCACAACCAUCAGAUGCAUGUUUAUCAUAAGCCUCAACAGCCAUUAUUCAACUACAAAAAAUAUCAUGGAUUGUUGUAAUUGUGACAAAAGAA